GGAGAGGUGCUAGAGUGGUCGAAUAGGACGGUCUUGAAAACCGUUGUACAGUUUAUUCUGUACCGUGGGUUCGAAU
rfam:Candidate division WS6 bacterium 34_10 MPI_scaffold_6502, whole genome shotgun sequence.